GCCGGAGUAGCUCAGUCGGUCAGAGCAACGGAAUCAUAAUCCGUGUGUCGGCGGUUCAAUUCCGUCCUCCGGUA
rnacentral:tRNA from 1 species